GGACUUGGAGUUAUCCGUUUCUGUGCCCACAAGAAAGUUGGUAUGUAGGACCCAAAGAGGCAGAGAUGCCUUUUAAAACUCAGGGCUGUCUCUCUUGGCCUCGGAAGGCACAGACUGCUUGAAGGCCAUUCAGUCAUGGACACUAGUGAUCCCAGGGGUCCCAUUUCCAUUCUACUGGCGAGGAAAAGUGCAUUCCUGAAGGCAGUCUCCCCGAGGUCACUCUGAAGGAUCCUGGUGGAAUACUCGGUUUUUAUUCCUCAGCCAACCCCCUUCCCAAUCCAUCCUGAUUCUUCAAUGUCAUCUCCCAAUAACUAGAAACAAAGUGAUCACACUUAUCAGGAUCCCAGAAGAAUUUCCUACCUGGCAACAUUUGACCACCAAACACCCACCCAACAAAGACAAGACCUGAUACUAGCACAUAGAAAUACAGUCCUUGCAAACCCAGAUGCCUGGAUGCAAGCCUGGAGAACACAGUCAGUAGCCAGGACACUGUCUCUAAUAGAGCCCAGAAACCCUGCCACAGCAGGUGCCUUGAGUAUUGCAACAUAGCUGAAGCACAAGAAAAAGACAUUAAAAUGUCCUUUAUGAGUACGAUCAAGGUCCUUAAAGAGGAAAUGAAUAAAUCCCCCAAUGAAAUAUAUGACAACACAAACAAUGGAAGGAAAUGAAUACAACAGAUCAAGACUUGAAAGUGGAAAUCAAUUCAAUAAAGAAAACCCAAA